rnacentral:rRNA from 1 species
GAUGAACGCUGACGGUCUGCUUAACACAUGCAAGUCGAACGGGGGUAGCAAUACCCUAGUGGCGGACGGGUGAGUAACGCGUGAGAAUCUGCCUUCAGGUUGGGGACAACCACUGGAAACGGUGGCUAAUACCCAAUGUGCUUCACGGUGAAAGACUUAUCGCCUGAAGAGGAGCUCGCGUCUGAUUAGCUAGUUGGUAGGGUAAAAGCCUACCAAGGCGACGAUCAGUAGCUGGUCUGAGAGGAUGAUCAGCCACACUGGGACUGAGACACGGCCCAGACUCCUACGGGAGGCAGCAGUGGGGAAUUUUCCGCAAUGGGCGAAAGCCUGACGGAGCAAGACCGCGUGAGGGAGGAAGGCUCUUGGGUUGUAAACCUCUUUUCUCAGGGAAGAACACAAUGACGGUACCUGAGGAAUCAGCCUCGGCUAACUCCGUGCCAGCAGCCGCGGUAAUACGGAGGAGGCAAGCGUUAUCCGGAAUUAUUGGGCGUAAAGCGUCCGCAGGUGGCUCGCUCAAGUCUGCUGUCAAAGACCGGGGCUUAACUCCGGAAAGGCAGUGGAAACUGACAAGCUAGAGGGCUCUAGGGGUAGAGGAAUUCCCGGUGUAGCGGUGAAAUGCGUAGAGAUCGGGAAGAACAUCGGUGGCGAAAGCGCUCUACUGGAGAGCAACUGACACUCAGGGACGAAAGCUAGGGGAGCGAAUGGGAUUAGAUACCCCAGUAGUCCUAGCCGUAAACGAUGGAUACUAGGCGUGGCUCGUAUCGACCCGAGCCGUGCCGUAGCUAACGCGUUAAGUAUCCCGCCUGGGGAGUACGCACGCAAGUGUGAAACUCAAAGGAAUUGACGGGGGCCCGCACAAGCGGUGGAGUAUGUGGUUUAAUUCGAUGCAACGCGAAGAACCUUACCAGGGCUUGACAUGUCCCGGAACCCUGCUGAAAGUGGGGGUGCCUUCGGGAGCCGAACACUGGUGCAUGGCUGUCGUCAGCUCGUGUCUGAGAUGUUGGGUUAAGUCCCGCAAC